CAAUUCAAACCAUUACAAAAUGCAUCAAAAAUUUGCAGAACUUCAAUAUGCAGACACACACCACCACGAAACAAAACCACCUUCAAGCGACACACUGUUCACUGAUAGAUAAGUAUCAAUCUUUGACCAGCAGCAGUAACACCUUUCAGUUUGCUUAACUUCUUGUUCUUAAAUGAAACCUACACCACGAAUUGAUCUGUAUUUUAUUAUUACACAAAGCAACAACUACCACUAAACUUAUUCGCAAACAAGCAGACAUCAUCAUACAUAUGAAUAAACUCUUUUCCAUUCCAUUCUCUUGUCCUGCUAGACUAUAUUGUACACACUUUUUGGGCUGAGCUGAGCAGCAGUCAGUUGCUCACAGAGCCGACCGUACUAGUGGGUAAAGUAAAUGUAAAAAAGUAAUAACAAAAAGCAAGCAGGGCAAACCAAGCAAGCAAGCACCUCCACUUUCGUGAGAAACAAACAGCAACAUUUUAUCACAUUACACCAAAUGAGGAAACUCCUCUAAUCGAAAGAAAGUACCGUGUCGACUCACCUGGACCGAGGAGGGGACAAAAUACGGGAGUGGAGUGUGCCUGAGCUCGUCUCCUCCGCCCGAACUGACUCAACUCCUACCACUCGUGAGGCAAGAAGGAGGCAAGCCUGGAAAUCCGCUUCUUCUUCUCACAUUAUUUGUCUCUCGACGAAAGGAAGGAAUUGAAACCACCACUUUUCCCUGAUGUAAAUACAAACCAAGUUCGGAAAUGUACGUAUUGGUUUCUGGACUGGAGAGUGUAUAUCUAACUUGUCGGUGAGAAAACUUGCACCAAAACCAAGAAAUCGGACCGAUUUUGUUCAAGGAAUAAUAUGAUAUGACACUGCUGCUGCUGGACUGGAGGUCUGCUGAGCAGGAUGGAUGGUGUGAGUCUGGUGGGGAAAGUAAGACGGUGUUUUGGUGAGACAAACCGUUUUUUUUUUUGUGGAAUGGUUUUUCAAUUUGAGAAUAUUUUUGGGUAUAGUUGAUGGAUGAUUUAUGAAAAUGUGUUGGCUGGGUUGUCUUAUUUAUUCAAUUUUGAAUUUUAUAUAGCAUGAGGAACAUUACAAUUUACAAAACGAAGGGUACUACCCCCCUUAACAUUGAUUUGAUUAGGUUGUCCAAUGUAUAGGUAUUUAAUGUAGGGACGUGGAAAGUAAAUUGAACAAAGGAAGAAUUGGGACCUUAUUUCCUUUAUCAAUUCCAAAUCAAUCAACUGAUUUUGAUCAACUAAAUAUGUAUCGAUUUUCUAAUGAAUUUACUCUCAUUUCAGUCAGUACAAUCAAAAUAAGUUGUGGAUUAUAUAUUUAGGUAAUUAAAUCUUUCAUUCAUCCAUGUAUAAUAAUAUAUGAUUAAUUUGAUAAUAUAUGUACAAUACAAAGGUCUUUCUUGUAGAUUUAACUAUGUAUAUCGUCGUAUCAUCCGGAACU